rnacentral:rRNA from 1 species
UACGAAGGGGGCUAGCGUUGCUCGGAAUCACUGGGCGUAAAGCGCACGUAGGCGGAUCUUUAAGUCAGGGGUGAAAUCCCAAGGCUCAACCUUGGAACUGCCUUUGAUACUGGGGAUCUCGAGUCCGGAAGAGGUUGGUGGAACUGCGAGUGUAGAGGUGAAAUUCGUAGAUAUUCGCAAGAACACCGGUGGCGAAGGCGGCA